CCAAUAUAGCCUUUGCAUCACACUGUUGUUGCGCUGUGAGGGUGAGAUUUUGCCGGUAGAUAUGCCUGCAUUCGCUGCCCAUUAAACUCCUCAGAGUUGCCGCUUGUACCUCGUUGGGUUUCUCAUGUAAACCGGUCGCCAGCGCAUAGUCCUCGAAUUCAUCCCUGAAAUUGUCCCAAUUAGUAUUCCAGUCCCCUGUGAGAACCAUGGGAUUUGGUGGCGGAAUGUUCGCUGCCAUAGCGAUGGAAUAGGAGAUUUCUUUGCCUUCAGUCAUCGAGAAGAGAACCAUGAAGAGGAGCUUGGAGUGGGUAAGGGAGAGGCUGAUAAAACAGCAAAGAAGACUUGAUUCAUCAAGUAUCAGUUAAUUCCGGUGAUUCUCACCUGGUUGGCAUCCACAACACGACAAGGACCUGAGCCCUAGGACCAUGCCUCAGGACUACCUGGCUUGAUGACUCCUUGCUGUCCCCAGUUCACCUGGCCGUGCUGCUGCUCCAGUUCCAACUGUUCUGCCUGCAGCUAUGGAACCCUGACCUGUUCACCGGACGUGCUACCUGUCCCAGACCUGCUGUCCCAGACCUGCUGGAACCCUGACCUAUUCACCGGACGUGCUACUUGUCCCAGACCUGCUGUUUUCAACUCUCUAGAGACAGCAGGAGCGGUAGAGAUACUCUCAAAGAUCGGCUAUGAAAAAGCCAACUGACACUUACUCUUGUGUUACUGACUUGUUGCACCCUCGACAACUACUAUGAUUAUUAUUAUUUGACCAUGCUGGUCAUUUAUGAACAUUUGAACAUCUAGGCUAUGUGCUGUUAUAAUCUCCACCCGGCACAGCCAGAAGAGGACUGGCCACCCCUCAUAGCCUGGUUCCUCUCUAGGUUUCUUCCUAGGUUUUGGCCUUUCUAGGGAGUUUUUCCUAGCCACCGUGCUUCUACACCUG
rnacentral:lncRNA from 1 species